GGGACAUCGGAGCGACCAGAGGGGACACAGCCCCUGCUGCCUCCGGGACUUGAAAGAGCAGCUCCAAGCUUGGCGACGGCUCCGUGCCUCCAGCCGAAGGCGUGUGGCCGCCCUGCUGCCUUGGCUGCGGCUGGAACGAAUGCAUGCACAUACCUCUGCCCCGGCACGGGUGUUUGCUCUUCUCUUCCGCGGCUGUGAUUGAUUAAAGGAUCAGGGACAUCUGAGAAUGGAGGCAGCAGCGGCAGCAGCAGAAGCAGCUCCCUUUGGACUUGGAGAGCUUCCUUGCCUGCUGCUUGCUGCUGCCGUUGCCUGUCAGGCAGCUUUUAAUCAAGGUUUGCUUAUAUCUGCAAAGGCCUUUCCCAGAGGGAUGAAGGGAGGAAAAGAGGGGGGGAGAGUAUAUUAACAUGCCAGCCACCCUCCCUCUCCCUCUCCUUUGUUUAUGGAGAGGGUCAGUGCUUGGAAACGGUUGGCGGGGACAGGGAAAGGCGCUUUGGGGGUGCUGGUGGCACGGUGCAGCUCUUGGCAUGUCCAGGUAUCGUGGCGUAGCCACAGGGAGGGAGGGCACUGACACCCAGUCAGGAUGCGCUCAGGGAUGGCAAUGGCACGUGGAGGGACCAGGACCUGAAAGCCAGGGCUCACCAGGGCUCAGUGGCUUCCUCCAGGAGGCCCUGGGCAGGUGGCAUGUCCCCACAGGUGCUGUGGUGGACAUGGCAGGGAGACCCCACACACCCCCAAGUCGGGGUCUCAGCCUGGACAGACCAAUGCCAUCCAUACGCCGGACUGGCACCAUCCAUACACCAAGACCGGCCAUGCGGGGGGAACCCAGGCCCCUCCAUCCCUCCCCCAGCCCUGCGCAAUGUCAGGGUCCCUCAUCCUACGGCAGAGCCCCAGGGUGGCCAUGUCACAACACCCCACGUCCCUCCUGCAGCACAGGCCUGAUCAGUGAUAUCGGCACUGCAGAGGGACCAGCGCCAGCCCCAAACCUGCCCCGCAGCACCCCAGGAAUGGAUUUACCCCCCCGACACUGGGAUUUCAGCACGGCACUGGGAGCAGCCCUGGCAGCACCCACCACACCACCGUCACCUGCUGCAGCCACCACCAGAGCCCCUGCACACCCCUGCAAGUGGUGUGGGGGGACAGGUGACCCCCAGCCCCACGUCCCCCCAUCAAGCGAGGUGUCUGCCUCUGCUGCCAUUCGC
rnacentral:lncRNA from 1 species